UAACUAUUCAACUCCCACUAAUCUGAUGGAUGGAAAUAAUUCCGAUGACAAUGAGAACACCAAAAUGUGGAUGCCCAGAAUUGAAACGAAAUUAAUAAAUAUGUUGAGAGAUGAGGUUAGAAACAAUCAAACAACGGGCCGUACUACUUCAUGGACAAUUAAGCAUUGGAAUCAUUAUGCAAAUCAAUUGCACAACAUAUAUGGAUUUCAGUAUACAGGUGUCAAGGUGCGCCAAAAAUAUCAGCGAUUGAAAGCUGAUUACCAGACAUUUAAGCGACUGUAGGCACAAACCGGUCUGGGAUGGGAUCCUAUUAUAGGCACUGUUGUUGCACACGAUGAAUUUUGGGAUAAGGCUAGCAGAAAUGUGAAGAAGUUUAGGACAAAAGGGUUUGAAUAUUUUCAAGAAAUGACAGAAAUUGUUGAAAAUUGUUGUGCCACAGGGGCCCUAUCUCGUGCAUCCACACAAGGACCCCUUGACUCAGAAGAAGAAGAUGACAUGUUAAACAAAUUUUGGAACGCUGAUGCUGGUGGGAGUAAUGCUGCUGAGGCCAUUCCUGUUGACUUAUUCGGAGAUGAGUAUAUCGAUCCAGCAAAGGAAAAAAGUUACAAGAGAGGCCCUGCAACUAGCCAGACUGACAGUGGUCGUUCCAAAAAGUCACGGUCAAGUGGGUUUGAUGAUGUGUGCG